rnacentral:rRNA from 1 species
UAACGACUCUCGGCAACGGAUAUCUCGGCUCUCGCAUCGAUGAAGAACGUAGCGAACUGCGAUACUUGGUGUGAAUUGCAGAAUYCCSUKRACCAUYGAGUCUUUGAACGCAAGUUGCGCCCGAAUCCAUUUGGNNGAGGGCACGUUUGCCUGGGUGUCA